rnacentral:misc_RNA from 1 species
GUAACAAGGUCUCCGUAGGUGAACCUGCGGAGGGAUCAUUACACAAUAAACAUAUGAAGGCUGCACCGCCAACAGGCGGCAAGGCUGGAGUAUUUUAUUACCCUUGUCUUUUGCGCACUUGUUGUUUCCUGGGCGGGUUCGCCCGCCUCCAGGACCACAUGAUAAACCUUUUUUAUGCAGUUGCAAUCAGCGUCAGUACAACAAAUGUAAAUCAUUUACAACUUUCAACAACGGAUCUCUUGGUUCUGGCAUCGAUGAAGAACGCAGCGAAAUGCGAUACGUAGUGUGAAUUGCAGAAUUCAGUGAAUCAUCGAAUCUUUGAACGCACAUUGCGCCCUUUGGUAUUCCAAAGGGCAUGCCUGUUCGAGCGUCAUUUGUACCCUCAAGCUUUGCUUGGUGUUGGGCGUUUUUUGUCUUUGGUUUUGUCCAAAGACUCGCCUUAAAACGAUUGGCAGCCGGCCUACUGGUUUCGCAGCGCAGCACAUUUUUGCGCUUGCAAUCAGCAAAAGAGGACGGCACUCCAUCAAGACUCUAUAUCACUUUUGACCUCGGAUCAGGUAGGGAUACCCGCUGAACUUAAGCAUAUCA